CCUUCGUAUCACUUCUGGAGGAACCUCACUCAGGGCAGCACAUAGUCUCUUGACCCUCCGGUAAAGAGGUCACCAAAAGGGACCACCGACAAACCAAAACAAACAAGAAAAAAAAAAAAAAAAAAAAAAAAAACACCUCGACCACACAUCCACUUGGCCACUUCGACCACACGGCCACUUCGAACACGCGACCAUGGACUCCCUACCAAGAGGUCUGGUUGUUAUGGCCAAGGGCGCCACGCAAGCCCCCGACGUGUUUCUGGAAAGUUCGACGUCGACAAGCACAGGAGAACCCGAAGGAAAUGACUACGAACGCCGCUUGCCAAACUGGGUCGAUUUCCUGGUGCUUGGGCUGUACUUCGCCUUCGUGCUUGCCAUUGGCUUGUAUUCGUCAUGGAGGACAAAGAGAGGCAGCGUUUCCAGCUAUUUCCUCGCCUCCAGAAACAUGCACUGGAUCCCGGUCGGAGCGUCUCUCUUCGCGAGUAACAUCGGCUCGGGUCACUUUAUCGGGCUGGCGGGAUCGGGGGCUGCCUCUGGUAUCGGUAUCGGCGCCUUCGAGCUCAAUGCCAUCUAUGUGCUUAUGCUUCUCGGUUGGAUCUUCGUCCCUGUGUACAUGAGCUCAGGAGUUUACACAAUGCCCGAGUAUCUUAGGGAGAGAUUUGGAGGCCAGAGGAUUAGGAUUUACUUGUCUGUCCUGGCUCUAAUCUUAUACGUCUUCACUAAAAUUUCGGCCGAUCUGUACGCUGGAGCGCUCUUUAUCCAGACAGCCCUGGAUAAAGGAGACUCUACCGAAUGGCUCUACCUCAGUAUCCUUAUCCUCCUGGCCAUCGCUGCGCUGUUCACUAUUACCGGAGGUCUAACGGCUGUUAUAUGGACCGACUUCGUACAGACUAUCUUGAUGCUCAUUGGCGCCUUCAUACUGAUGGGAAUGUCUUUCCACGCGGUCGGCGGUUACAACGCUCUAGUUACCGACUACUUCCACGCGAUCCCGACCAACACGGUGUACACGGCCGACAACCUGACGAACUGCGGCGAGCCCCCUGCCUAUGCCAUGGACUUGUUCCGGUCUAUUGUACCCGGGGAGUCGGAUCUGCCCUGGACGGGUAUGCUCUUCGGGGUGACCAUCUCGGGUAUCUGGUACUGGUGCACGGAUCAGGUGAUCGUGCAGAGAACUCUCUCCAGCAGGAACAUGAUUCACGCCAAGGCAGGUUGUGUCCUUGCCGCCGCCUUGAAAUUCCUCCCUAUGUUCCUCUUGGUGUUCCCGGGAAUGGCGGCUAGGAUCCUCUUCACAGACCGCGUGGCUUGCGUUGUGCCCGAGGAGUGUAAAGCUGCCUGUGGAAGUACAUCCGGUUGUACGAAUAUCGCUUACAUUGAGUUGGUGCUUCGACUCCUUCCGACGGGUCUCUGCGGCCUGAUGCUGGCUGUGAUGAUGGCCGCCCUCAUGUCCUCCCUCACCUCCAUCUUCAACUCGGCGUCGACCAUCUUCACCAUCGACAUCUGGACGAGGAUUCGACGAGGAGCCACAGACGUCGAACUCCUCAUCGUCGGCAGGGCCUUCGUCCUCGUCCUCGUCGUCAUCUCCGUCAUUUGGAUCCCCGUUAUCCAGGGCUCAGCAAAUUCCCAGCUGUUUGUUUACAUCCAGAGUAUUUCCUCUUUCUUGUCUCCUCCGAUCUGCGCUGUCUAUCUCCUCGCCAUCUUCUGGUCCAGAACCACGGAACCGGGAGCGUUCUGGGGCCUCAUGAUCGGCUUGGUCAUAGGACUCAUUCGGUUCAUCAUGGAAUACGCGUUCGUCAUCCCACCAUGCGGAUCAACCGACCCGGAUCCUCGGCCGGACUGGAUCAAAAUCUUGGUCGGGAAUGUCCAUUAUCUCCACUUCGGCUGCAUUCUGUUCGUGAUCGUGCUCGUGGUCACGGUCGUCAUUUCCUAUCUCACGGAGCCGAUCCCUGCUGAAUGUCUCCACCGCCUCACUUUCUGGACGCGGGAGAGCACCGAGGUGAGGGUGUCCGUCCGCGAGUGGAUGAACAAGAAGAAGGACGCCGCGGCCUACACGAACGAGGGCGCGGUGGCGAACGAGGGCGGGGAGGUCGUGUCGGAGAAGGUGGUCGAUGGGGUGGCGGUCGUGUCGGAUAAGGUGGUCGAAGGGGCGGCGGUCGUGUCGGAGACGAGGAAUGCGUCGGUCGCCAGCAGUGUGGAAGAACUCCCCGUGUGGCGAAAGGCGCUCAACUGCGUCUGCGGAGUCGAGACGCAGAAGGUGUCCCAGGCGCAGGAGGAGGACCCCGAGGACCACCUCACGCCGGAGGAGAAAGCCACCAGAGCCGCCGCGUUCCUGCAGGAGAAGAGACCGUGGACUAAUGUUGUAGACGGAGCAUCUAUACUGGUCAUGUGUAUUGCUGCGUUUCUGUGGGGUUACUACGCCUGAAAGAAUAGUCACACCGGUUUAGACUGCUGUGUGUUAUUAAGCCUGUAAUAAUAGGCACAGUGAUCUAGAAAAAUAAAAAACAAAGCUCACUAGUAUAAUUCGUUUUCUAAUUUACGUUGUAUAUUCAAAAUGUGUAAAAAAUAUAAGUGUAUUGUACAUUUUCUUGUGCUGUAACAUUAAACAAAGAUAUAUGUAUGUGUGUGUGCUGUGUGUGUAUUUAUGUAAAUAAAGAGCUACAAAACAGAA
rnacentral:misc_RNA from 1 species